GACAGAGGGGGCAAGCGUUGCUCGGAAUUAUUGGGCGUAAAGGGCGCGUAGGCGGUUUGUUAAGUCGGUUGUGAAAGCCCGGGGCUCAACCCCGGAGAGUCGACCGAUACUGGCAGACUAGAGUACAGAAGAGGUAGCUGGAAUUCCUGGUGUAGCGGUGAAAUGCGUAGAUAUCAGGAGGAACACCUGAGGCGAAGGCGGGCUACUGGGCUGAUACUGACGCUGAUGCGCGAAAGCCAGGGGAGCAAACGGG
rnacentral:rRNA from 1 species